GAUGAACGCUGGCGGCGUGCCUAAUACAUGCGAGUCGAGCGAACGGACGAGAAGCUUGCUUUUCUGAUGUUAGCGGCGGACGGGUGAGUAACACGUGGAUAACCUACCUAUAAGACUGGGAUAACUUCGGGAAACCGGAGCUAAUACCGGAUAAUAUUUUGAACCGCAUGGUUCAAAAGUGAAAGACGGUCUUGCUGUCACUUAUAGAUGGAUCCGCGCUGCAUUAGCUAGUUGGUAAGGUAACGGCUUACCAAGGCAACGAUGCAUAGCCGACCUGAGAGGGUGAUCGGCCACACUGGAACUGAGACACGGUCCAGACUCCUACGGGAGGCAGCAGUAGGGAAUCUUCCGCAAUGGGCGAAAGCCUGACGGAGCAACGCCGCGUGAGUGAUGAAGGUCUUCGGAUCGUAAAACUCUGUUAUUAGGGAAGAACAUAUGUGUAAGUAACUGCGCACAUCUUGACGGUACCUAAUCAGAAAGCCACGGCUAACUACGUG
rnacentral:rRNA from 1 species